rnacentral:lncRNA from 1 species
UCGUUUGUCACCACCAGGCGGCGGAGAACUGUCGAAUUCAGCAUCUUCAGAGCCGCCGGCACAGAUGAAAGAUCUCUUCCUACCUAGCAGGGCACGCCGGAACGGGGAGGAUCUGCGCAGCGAGGGAAGGGAUGACUGAAUGGUAUGAAGAGUAAGCAUCUCCUCGUAAUCCUGUAGCUUGCUGUUGCUGGUGUUGAUUUGGCAAAGUAUCUUGUGAGGGUUGGUUUCUGCCUACCUCUCGUGGCUGGAGCCCGGGAACCAUAUCCCUUCUGUUCCGUGACAAGACGAAAUUGCCCUUGCGUGCUGGGUUCACUCAGGUCCAUGUCUUGCCACUUUAUGCAGGAUGGGGAGCUGUGGACCCCACCCUCUGUUGUCUAGUUGGAACGGCCGAAAAUAUCGAGCCCCACAAGGCGCCAUGAAGUCAGGAAUCGGGCCGAAACAGGCGCAGUUGGGCAUCAUGGGCUCAAUCAAGUCCUGAAUGAUAGCUGGGCCGCAAUGAAUGACCACGUACAAGUCGACUGCUAUACUACCACAUCAUGAUUGAUUGAAGGAGCAAGCUUACCAUGGCAAUGUUCUGGUUUGUUUUGUUGUCGAGGCAUUGUUUUUCCUGUCGGGCGGAACGGGCAUUGGUUUGAUGUCACCUCUCAACAAUGCUAUUCUGUAGAAUGGAAUGCUUCGUGCUUCUUACGAAUCUUACCCUCCAAGCCCGGUUUUUUCCACACAAAUUGAAACCCGAACGGUGAAUUAUUGUUGGAUGUGGGCUGUGCUCUCUCUGUUUGUCGCUUUUGUGAUCCAUGUGUUGUGAAG